UUUGUGCGCGUGGUCUUUCACUAUUCUCUCUUUCAUAUACACGAUUCACUCUCUCCGGGUGAGUAUGUCCUGAUAGAGAUGACGAUUCCCGCGAUUGUUCUUUCUUUUGGGUCGAUUUUGAUCUCUUUAUGAAUUAUUGCGGUAGUUUAUGAUGUCGUGUUGGGUUUCGAUUCCUUCCCUCUCUACCAGAGUUUUAACUCCAUUAAUUUUUUGGAAGUAGGCCUACUACUUGCCACCGGUGCUUACUACCCAGUUGAGGAUUAUAGCCUCCGACUCGCUCGGGUAACCUGCAACAAAAGGGGGAACUGACCGUUGUCUCUGGCAAGCUUUUUGAAGUCGACAAAUGGGCCUGAACUUGGUUUGGGAAUUUUGCCAGUUUAUUGCUCUUGAUUUUGAACUGGGCUUAAAACUUACUCUCGAUCGGUACACAAUGUUGGAUUUUGCACACUUGCUUUGAUGGUGGGGCUUUCAAUUGGUUCUGUAAUGAAUUUUUGUUAUGUCUGUUCUAUUACGUAGAACGACACAAUUAUGUCUCAAAUAUUUUCCUAUUUUAUUAGUUGCAUUGGUUAAUGAUAUUCUUACCUAAUUGCAGUAAACUGCGAGGAGAGAAAGGGGUUUGUUCCUUCUACUGCCAGUGCAAAAUGCAUUCAAGGAUGAGCUGCAAGAUGCGGUGGACAAAAGCUGCCAGAAGGCUUGCGGGAUUGAUUAACUUGCAGAGAUUACAUGAUAUUUUUUUUGGCAUGAUCUAUUUGGUUGUAUGAUUUUUAUGAUUUCUUUGACUGGUAUGUGGG